AGUGAACGCUGGCGGUAGGCCUAACACAUGCAAGUCGAACGGCAGCACAAUAAGAGCUUGCUCUUACGGGUGGCGAGUGGCGGACGGGUGAGGAAUACAUCGGAAUCUACUUUUUCGUGGGGGAUAACGUAGGGAAACUUACGCUAAUACCGCAUACGACCUACGGGUGAAAGCAGGGGAUCUUCGGACCUUGCGCGAUUGAAUGAGCCGAUGUCGGAUUAGCUAGUUGGCGGGGUAAAGGCCCACCAAGGCGACGAUCCGUAGCUGGUCUGAGAGGAUGAUCAGCCACACUGGAACUGGGACACGGUCCAGACUCCUACGGGAGGCAGCAGUGGGGAAUAUUGGACAAUGGGCGCAAGCCUGAUCCAGCCAUACCGCGUGGGUGAAGAAGGCCUUCGGGUUGUAAAGCCCUUUUGUUGGGAAAGAAAAGCAGCAGGUUAAUACCCCGCUGUUCUGACGGUACCCAAAGAAUAAGCACCGGCUAACUUCGUG
rnacentral:rRNA from 1 species